GGGGAAUUUUGGACAAUGGGGGCAACCCUGAUCCAGCCAUGCCGCGUGUAUGAAGAAGGCCUUCGGGUUGUAAAGUACUUUUGUCAGGGAAGAAAAGCCUGGGGAUAACACCCUCGGGUCAUGACGGUACCUGAAGAAUAAGCACCGGCUAACUACGUGCCAGCAGCCGCGGUAAUACGUAGGGUGCGAGCGUUAAUCGGAAUUACUGGGCGUAAAGCGAGCGCAGACGGCUAUUUAAGCAAGAUGUGAAAGCCCCGGGCUCAACCUGGGAACUGCGUUUUGAACUGGGUAACUAGAGUGUGUCAGAGGGGGGUAGAAUUCCACGUGUAGCAGUGAAAUGCGUAGAGAUGUGGAGGAAUACCGAUGGCGAAGGCAGCCCCCUGGGAUAACACUGACGUUCAUGCUCGAAAGCGUGGGUAGCAAAC
rnacentral:rRNA from 1 species